CAGGGGCAGUAGUGCCAGAAGAAAUCCUGUCACUCAAAUUUUAACUUUGUGGAUGUAUCUACACGUAUCUCUCUACAGAAUGUAGAAUAUAUGUUUGGAAUAGUUGGUGUUCCAGUCAUUGAAGUAGCUAUGGCAGCUCAAGCCUCAGGAAUCAAUCCAGGUGCGUGUCUGGUUGUGUCUGGACCGGGACUCAUCCAUGCACUUGGUGGAAUGGCCAAUGCUAACAUGAACUGCUGGCCUGUGAUUGUUAUUGGAGGCUCCUCCGAUCAAAACCAAGAGACCACUGGGGCAUUUCAAGAGUUUCCACAGGUGGAGGCAUGCAGACUGUACAGUAAGUUCUCUGCUAGGCCUAGCUCGGGAAUAAAACUAUCAAAACGUUCAUAAUUAUGGGAAAUAACUCAUUUCAUGCAAAUAAAAUAAUUGAAUAUAUAUCAAAUAUAAUUCCUGAAAAAGGAAAAUAAGAAUUCCUCUUCCUACCUGACUGUAUCAGCUGAAUAUUCCUCUUCUUACCUGACUGUAUCAGCUGAAUAUUCCUCUUCCUACCUGACUGUAUCAGCUGAAUAUUCCUCUUCUUACCUGACUGUAUCAGCUGAAUAUUCCUCUUCCUACCUGACUGUAUCAGCUGAAUAUUCCUCUUCCUACCUGACUGUAUCAGCUGAAUAUUCCUCUUCCUACCUGACUGUAUCAGCUGAAUAUUCCUCUUCCUACCUGAUUGUAUCAGCUGAAUAUUCCUCUUCCUACCUGACUGUAUCAGCUGAAUUCCAAGACAUGCCUUUUUGUUUGAAAUUCUCGACUCAAGGGAUGGAAUGGAUUCCAAUGGUAUUGUAGAGGGGGAAGUGAGUUUAUAAGAGAAUGUUUUCGUCCCAAAUGGCACCCUAUUCCCCGUUAUAGUGCAUUACUUUUGACCAGAGCUAUAUGAAAGUAGUGCACUGCUAUAUUAUUAGACGCUACUCCAUUCAGUUGAAGGCAUAUUAAUGUUGGCCUCAUUUUGAAUGUCAUUUACAUUUUGUACAGGUCUUCUUCCUCUUACCUGGGCAGAGAGGUGUCUAUUUUGUCCAGGCUGGGCACCUCAGAUAAUAACUGUCUGUGGGAGACACUUUCUGUUCCAUCAGAAAUGGAAGAAUGACAGCAGGAUGAUUUCAGAGUAAAGCUUCCAGAUGAGCGUCCCCUGAAGCCCAGAGGCGCCAUAUCUCCCCUGCCCAGGGACUAUAAGGCCCACCGGUUGGGCCACCU